rnacentral:rRNA from 1 species
GGACGAAAGAGGGAGGAGGGAGGAAAAAAGGAAAGUCUAAAGGAAAGGUCCUGCUUUUGUGGGGUGAUCGAGUGGCGAACGGGUGAGUAAAACGUGAGUAAGUUGUUCUUGAUUUUGGGAUAACUUCAGGAAAUUGGGGCUAAUACCGGAUAGGAGCUCCUGCUGCAUGGUGGGGGUUGGAAAGUUUCGGCGGUUGGGGAUGGACUCGCGGCUUAUCAGCUUGUUGGUGGGGUAGUGGCUUACCAAGGCUUGGUGUGGUAGCCGGCCUGAGAGGGUGACCGGCCACAUUGGGACUGAGAUACGGCCCAGACUCCUACGGGAGGCAGCAUUGGGGAAUAUUGCACAAUGGGCGGAAGCCUGAUGCAGCAACGCCGCGUACAAGAUCCCCUCCUUCGACUUGUAAACCGCUUUCGCCUUUGACUAAGCGUGAGUGACGGUAAUGGGUAAAGAAGCACCAACUCACUACGUC